GGCGGGGUAGCUCAGGGGUAGAGCAGGGGUCUCAUAAGCCCUUGGUCGGCGGUUCAAUCCCGCCCCCCGCCA
rnacentral:tRNA from 1 species